UCAGCGGGUAACCUCGCCUGACGUGAAGUCAAGUUUUGGGGUGUACAUUCGGCUCGGGCAACGGAGCCGGGAUCAGAGGCGUGUUCACUACUCUGCGGGCUUCCGCUGCUUCCGGCCCAGGCAUUGCGGGCGGCGGCGACCACAGUGGGCCGCUGUCCCCAUCACCGAGUCAGACUCGAGUGUUGAAAUGACGUUCACGCAGACGUGCCCACCGGAAUACCAGGGGGCGCAAUGUGCGUUCAAAGAUUCGAUGAUUCACGGAAUUCUGCAAUUCACAUUACUUAUCGCAUUUCGCUGCGUUCUUCAUCGAUGCGAGAACCA
rnacentral:misc_RNA from 1 species